GUGGGUCCAAGGUUCUGGCAGUUACAGAUACAGGGUAGGUGUUUCUUGAGAGGUGAUAGAGAAAUCAAGGGAAAUUGAGACAGUGAAUUUAGAGCCUCAUGAGUCAGAGAGAGGUACUCUGGGUCAAUGUGGAUAAUCUGUUCAUCAAUUUAGAUAUACACGUGCAAUGUGCCAAACUAACAUCAGCUGAGGGUAGGGCAUGGGUUAGUCUCAACUGCUGUGGAACGAGCGCACCCGGGAAUUCUCAAGAAGUUAGCUUCAUAAUUCAGCCAUAGGAAACUCCAUAGUAUGAGUAGGGAAAGAGGGCAUUGGAAGUCUCCUGAUGGAGGCUAGGAGCUCCAGCUCUGUCACUGCUGACCCCAUACCCCUCCAAGCUCAACAUACCUCACCAGGAGAGGAGAAAAGACAAUAGCUGUACCGCCUUUUGCAGCCAUCACACUUCCAAGACUUCCUAGUUGCUGGCUAGAAGCCUGCCACCUUUGGUACAAAGGGUCUGGAAAGUAUCCAGGGGAAGAAGAUCCAGACAUAUGCUUGUGUGACCAGAAGAGACAUACCCAGAAACAAAGCUGAAAAUGCCAAAACGGCUCUGAGGACCCAGACAAGUAUUGUCAACAAGGAACUGAUUGAGCUACUAACCCAUGAUGCCAGAAACCCUGUGAGGGGUUUGUGAGCUGCAUCUAGGAGCUGCAAGAGAGUGUUCUCAUGAGAAGAUUGGGAGAAUGACUUUUCUGCAUGACUGAGAGAGGAUUCUCCUGACUCAAUUUCCCCACUAUGACACCUGGCAGACUUUAAGCCUGGCUCAAUGCAGUUGGCUAUUAAAUACCUUCUGCCUGUAAUUGACAUGAAGGAUGCCCAGCCUUCUUCCUAAUUCAACAAUGGCUUCAUGGAAUUCAUGAUAUUGAUAUAGAUAACAGGAACCAGCAAAGACUUCAGGAAAAAGUAGUCAAGCCACUUCAUUUCCAUUCCCUCAUCUGCAAAAACUUGGAACCUUAGGAAUUAUCCAAGACAAUACUUCACUUUAUAGAGAUGAGGAAAGUGAGCACAGCUCUUCCAGCCCAAGGAGAAGGUGGAUCCGGGUUUCAGACCUGGGUCUGUUUCCUCAUUUGGGAAAGGAAGAGAUCACAGUAAAUGACUGUGAAGGUCUGUUCCAGCUCUAACUCCUAUUAUCAAGAGCCACACCAAUGAGGAAACUGAAGCUCAAAGUCACAGUUCACAAGUGGGAGACAAAUGGCUGAGGUUUCCAGUCUCAAUCCAAGUGACCACUCCUUUCCCCACCCCAUUUCCUCAACUGCAUGCUCUCCUGCUUAAGACAUUUCAACAGCUUUGAACUGAAGCAAUACAAGGAUCUAAGACAUCUCCAAAGGCC